AAACUACUUCCUCCGUUCCGAAUUACUUGUCUUGGAUUUGUCUAGAUACGGAUGUAUCUAGACUUAUUUUAGUGCUAGAUACCUCCGUAUCUUGACAAAUCUAAAACAAGUAAUUCGGAAUGGAGGGAGUAGUAG
rfam:Triticum aestivum genome assembly, contig: Triticum_aestivum_CS42_TGACv1_scaffold_001626_1AL